GCGGCUUAACCCACUGAGCCACCCAGGCGCCCCAAAUUUUUAUCACAUAUUUGCCAGUGGAGUUUUGAUUGCUUCCAAACAAGUAUGUGGCUUCUUUGAGUUCCACUGGGAACUGGCCCUUUUGCUAAGGAGGCAGUGUGGGUUGUUAUGUGGACCCUAGAGCUGGUCCUCUGGAGUUCAAUACAGGGCUUCACUUUUUAGCCACCUUGGGGAAAUUAUUUAACUCCUCUGUGCAGUUUUCUCAUCUGUAAAAUGAGUUAAUAGUACAAACUGAGGCAUGAAAAAAAUGCCUGGCACAAAUCACAUGAUAAACAUUAGCAACUAACCAUUACAUCAGUGCAUGUAAAUGUAUUUGGAGACGCAGUUCAGGGGUCGAGUAUGUGAAGGAGGACAGAGUUUUUCUCUCAGUGUCAAGGAAGAGACUAUCUUGGAGAGUUCAAGUAUUCAGAAAGCAGACCGAGCUGGAGUUGAAGCUACUGGGAAGGAAGGAGCUCAUGCUUAGACUCCUUGGGCCCUAACCAAAGCUAGCAUUCCUUUUUGCCUUAUUGGCUCCAUUUGCUUAAUGAUUUGAGCUGUAAUUCCUAGGGUGGAUGGAUGUCAUGUAUUUGGCCCCCCUCUCUUUCCCCACCACCCAAUCCCUUCGGCCUUGGCUUCUCUCUCUCUUUUUUUUUUAAAAAAAAAAAAAAAAAAGCUAGCUCCAGUAGAAAAUAGACCUUUAAAAGUUUACCUAUAUGGGAUUUGUUACAGAGUGAUUAGGGGGCCAGGAGGGGGAUGAGUGAGUAGGGGGUGGAUAUAAUUUAUGUAUAUAGAUCCAAAGAUUGGUCAUGAGGCUGCAUUAUAAGUACAUGGGAGUUUAUUACAACCUUUUUACUUCUGCAUAUGUUUGAAACUUUCAUAAGAAAAAAUAAAAAUUGAGCAAAAAAAGCAAGUUGCUUAACUGUAGUGUGAUGCCAUUUAUUUAAAGUUUUAAACCAUGCAAAGAAUAUAUAUUGUUUAUGCAUA